UACGAACCGUCCAAACGUUAUUCGGAAUCACUGGGCUUAAAGAGUCCGUAGGCGGCCAAUUAGGUGAGGUGUGAAAUCCCCCGGCUUAACCGAGGAAUUGCGCUUCAAACCGAUUGGCUAGAGGAAGAUAGAGGAAAGCGGAACUGAUGGUGGAGCGGUGAAAUGCGUUGAUAUCAUCAGGAACACCGGUGGCGAAAGCGGCUUUCUGGGUCUUUUCUGACGCUGAGGGACGAAAGCUAGGGGAGCGAACGGG
rnacentral:rRNA from 1 species